UGGGGAUUGUUCUGCCACAUCGUGCUGCUUAAGUCUGGGAGCCAGGGUGGGAGGUACUGGGUUACAAGAAGGGAACAGGUGUGAGGGGUGACAACAUACUCAUUCAGCUUUGGACUCGUGCCUGUGGGGGUCCUGUAGGAGAUCUUGCGGACCUGUGCAGUGGGCCGUCGGAAAGGCAAGCCUGACCCUUUCAAGAGAGGUCAGGCCUGGAGACCAAGGGCACUGAAAGAGAACACAGGGCUGAUUCCUUGACCUUUUGCAGUUCAUAGUCUAGUGAGGAAUACGAAUAAUUACAAAGGAAAGACUCUUUUACAGCCCUCAGCACUGUUAUUGCGUGAACUGGCUCAGCAUGGCCGGCCCAGUGAAGGACGCCAGUGGUAGUAACCGGGGAAGAGGGAUCCCCUGGCUCUUCUUACCAAACUUCUUCGAUCGUUUGGAGUGGUUUGGCCAUCAGUUAGUCAGGAAGAGGCCAGAAGGACACGUGCUGAUAAUGCUUCAAGAAAGUUAAACUUUAGGAAAAACUCGACCGAAGUAAAAAUAGCUAUGUAGUCAGUGACCAAAGCUACUUGGAUGGUCCUGUUGAUUGCUCUUGUGCAUUUUAUCACACGAAUACAGGCUUUCCCCUAAAAGUUGAAAAUAAAGAAGGGAAAUGUGAUGAAUGGCAUAUAUUACCUCCAGAGAGCCUAAACUCUCAUGCAUUAAAAGUUAGUAUCUGCCAGGGAUCGUCCUCAAUAUUUAUGACCCACUCUGGCAUUAAGAGUGUGACACGCAGAAGGCCGUCUUCAUUAGAGGCUGGCUAAAUAACUAUUGGAAGCUUGUUACCUGGUGCUUAUCAGAGCACACUUCGUGAAAUAGUUAUGUACACUCUUGUUCCUCCUCCCCUGACUAGACUGCACACUCACGGGCUGGGUCUGGCACAGAGGCUGCCCU